rnacentral:lncRNA from 1 species
GUGUUUGGAAUGUUUUCGGCUGGUUUGAUUUUCUAGCUACGUCCAAGCAGGGCACUGGAUUGAUUUCACCAAUCAAAGCUAGCUGACUUACUAGCUACGUCCCAAGAAGGCCAAUACAAUAUGUUGAUCCAUUUGGUUGUUGCGGCUGGAAAGUAACACAUCUGGGGCUCAGGAGGUGCGUCAUUCACACUAGAUCGUACCCGGAGUUCUACUAUUAGGUAUGAUUACACCUGGGAAGCUACCCUUCCUGGAUAACUAUUUUAGUAUCUGUUUUUAUUUACUGAUGAUGAGAACCAAAUAAAUUGGCUACUGUCAUGUUCCUCCCUUAAAAAAAGAUUCUGGUAGAUGUGCUUCACAAUAAUAAUGGUAAUACGUAAAGGAGUUCUUGCUGCAACUUGGCGCAUUUAUAUAUGGUACCACUUACCUGCGUUACCAGUUUGCGUUAAGGAUUUUGCUACUAUCGCCAAGGUAUCUACAGAAUUACAAAUAUGAUGCAACAUGAUUUUGCUAAUGUCGGUUACAAAUAUGAUGCAACAUAAUUUUGCUAAUGUCGGUUACAAAUAUGAUGCAACAUAAUUUACUUAGGCUUAAGUAUAUGAGCAAAUAGUUGGAGAGCUACGAGCUAAAGAAAUAUCACACUCUAUAAUACAAUUCUUGUCUAACUGAACCAAGUUCAGUUUUGAGUAUAGAGAAAUGUAAUAUAGCAACCAUUUCAAGGCUGCAUCUUAUUUAAGAAAGUGAUGAGAUGAAUGUAGGGCAUGCUUAUCGAAUGUAAAUGGACACAGUAUUCAGCCCUUACAACAGGAGUAUAGAAGCCUAGACCUUACUGAUUCGAUGAUAUGGUACGUGCAACAGAGGAACUUGAUGCAACAGACCACCCUCCAUUUACAAACCUUUCGAUGCAGCAUUAGAAAUUGUGCCAUAUGUAAUGGCAAUGCAUUUCUUCCGUUUUGGAAGUUAUAUUACGAAUUUUAGUAUGUCUUAUAGUUUUUCAAUAACCAAUGUGUCGUGACAAUACAAAAAUGAUCUUGCAUAUUAAAACACUAACAGGGUACCGGCUAUAGAUCAAUACUUACCAUGAAUUUCUGCAAUCCAUACCUCUUUUAGAUAGUAGCACAAAAGAUGGGAGAUGUUACAACAGAAGUACAUGAUAAUGGCUGAUCUGAUAUCUCAACAAGGUAAUAUGGCUGGUCCGAAAAUUUUUGCGACCCUUAAACAUGUCAGUGCAUUGUCACGAACCUUCCUUGAAGAUAGAGAUAUGCCAAUGACCUUUAUCCGAUUCCUGAGUUUCAGAGGUAAUGGGUGGAACAAUUGUAGAGUUUGUUUUUCAGAUAAAGAACAAAGGGCUAGAUUGUCCUGAAAAAGUGAUGGCCGCCAAACCUCCCAAAAAUUAAUCGGCCAUUAAUUUACGGGACUAUUUUUCAGUCUAAUUAGUGGAGACUUAGAGAGUGACAAAAAUGUUUUUAAAAAACUAAUAUAAAAAUAUGAAAUAUUUAGUUAUUCUCUAUACCUGAGAAAGCAAUAAAGAACUUUGUGUUAGGCAGUGCACUGCGGGAGUGUGUACUGUGACUAUUACUGCACCGCCGAGGAAGGCUUGAUCUUUCCCACAGGUCCACCUUCUUUGCCUUUCCAUUCUUUGAACUGGAUCAGUUUUGAUAUUCUAACAUUGAUGGAAAAUCAUUAUCAUCUGUAAAGCCACAUUUCAUUUUAUGAUUUUUAGCAGAGGCUGCAUAGGCCUCCUGCAUGAAGCCUGCGAUUUGAGGCAGUUCUUUCCGCUCCACCUCAUGCCCGUGCAUUGUUGGUACGCGUAUUUGAGCUCGUGUGUUUCUGCAAGCGCAAACUAGAUACCGAAAUCAAGGGAUUUGAUUGGUAUGUGAUGGAAAAAAGGAGAGGAAUAGCAGCAGGCAAUAGAAGGAUUUUUGAAUAGAUACCUUUUUCUCUGUAGAAUUUGUAACUGUGAUCCGAUAGUUAAUAACUGAAGCCUUGUGCGUGUCUUCUUCUUAAGUUUUGCACAAGCAGCAGCGCUAAAAUUUACCAUGUUUUGUUUUCAUUACCCCGCGCUAAAGUGUAUAUGUAUGCUGACCAAUGACCAUAAACUAUACAUGAUUGGGCAAAGAAUCACUCUGGUGACCCAGAGAUAGAUGAAGCUUUAAAGAAGGGAGAAGAUGCUGGGGCUUGCCUUGGUUAGCAGCAAUAACCAUUUCAUUUUUGUGUUUAUCAGCAUAAGCUAAUAUCUGGAAGCCGGGCUUCUUUACUCUGUAGUCCUGCAAUUUUUCAUGUUCCUGGUGUCACUUUCCCAGUACUCUCCUGUAGCAGUGUUUUGUGCUAAAAAGUGAAAAUUUCAACGUUUUGCAGUCACUACCAGCAAGUAAUAGCACUGACUAUUAUUUUAAAUAGAAUAUGAAAUUGAGCUUUCAGCUGCAUCUUUUAGCAUCCUAGCGCUCUCAUCAACUUCAGAGUUACCACUGGUGUCACUUUUUUCAAGAAAUCUAGAAAGAAGCAAGGAUUCUCAAGUAAGACAAGUCUGCUUACAAAAAUUUGCCUACUGGAAAGUAGAUAAGAGACUCAUGAAGUAAGAAGACAUGCCUACAUAUCAUACAUAGCAGGCUUCUGACUUCUCUGAUUCUUCAAGCCUUGAGGCUGUGAAACAUCUAUGCUGACCUUCAUUUGAUUAGGUACAUUCAGAUUCAGUUUGUUUAUUACUUUAUGGAUGCUUCUCUUCUCAUUAUAGUGCUGGGCAAUUUGAUGAGAAAUUAUCUUCUAUUUGAUGGUCCAGGUUCAGCGUUCACUGCUAUGAAAGAAGAAGGCAUAGAUUUGCCUUGUAGAAUUGCCAUGGCAGUGAGAACGGAUAAAUAUCUACAACAGGCAAUACAUUAUUUUGAAGCUACAUGGAAAGCAAAGUAAGCACAUGGAUCCCUCCUUUCAUAUUCUGAUGGUAUGUCGCCAUAAGUAUGGUCCAUUUUGGAAGCCACGAUGUGCCAACAGCUCAGCAUAGAACUGGUCAACAUACUGUGCGAAUGCUGCUGCUAUGUGAAAAUUGUUGUUGUGCUACCAAAAGAAAUCGUUCCACACCAUGAUUUUGAAGUUUUUGCAAGUUCCAAGUGUUAUGAUGUUAUUUUAAUAAUGAGAGUGAUUUUAAAUUGCGUGGGAUUUGGCCGCAAUCACUCGCGAUUUUCACGCAGUACAAAAUCACAAGAGAUUGCGGUAGAUCGCGCCGACUUAGGCUACAAUUUCACUGCAAAUUUGGUUGCCCUGCAAUUUUAAUCAGUGAUCAUGAGUAACAGUACUAAAUUUUCAACUGAUCUGAAGAGGCGUAUGUUUCAUCAUUGUUAUCAUUCUUUCUUACCGAGUGCUUGUUCAUUUGUUUUUUAAUUAUAUUGAUGCUACUUUGCUUGUGUCAAAAGAUUCAUAUAAUUUCUGUUUUCCAUAUUGAUAAACAACUCCCUUGACAAGCACAACUAUAGUAUGCUACCCACUAUGUUGUUUACUUGUUUUGCUAUUCAGUACAUGUGAGAUUCAAGGAAGGCCCGGAACGGGCUGAGCUACUGCCCGAAAUAGAAGAGGACGACUAGAGUAGAUGAGCCUAAUUCCAAUCCAAACAAUUGAUGAGGGAGUCUAGUUAUUUUUCCAUUCUUGAUUCUUUCAAUUGCACUUUCUUCAUUGGAGGGUUGCUUGGAAAGUGCGAUAGUUACGGCGCUUGGAGUAUACAGAUUGAAUUCUUCCUCCUUAUAUAGGUCUUUCUAGGUGAGGCGGAAAAAAGGUGUAGAGAAAAUUUAUUGAUUUAACUUCUACGCUGGUUGUAUCUCGUUCGUGGGAAGAUCAGAAAUUGAUUGAGCAUCAUGUGUCACCUUAUUUGAACUCCGUGUUGCCAGAUCUUUUUCACCUGAAGCGUGAUCAUCUGUGAAGUACGCCACAAAUUAUGAAAACAUCAGGCCAUUUGAAAGUGGGGGUUAAACAUCCCUGGAGUUCUUCUCCUUAAAUCUUACUGCAACCCUUUUAAUCACAUUUCCUAUUGUGUAGUUGGUGACGACGAUGAAUUGUUAUCCACUUGAGAAAUAAAGAUUAAAUCGAUGAUGCUCUCAAAAGUAAAAUGACUUUCUGAGCUGGAUAGUGACAUUGUGAGCACCAAUAUAAAACUUAUAAACCUUUUUCCAUGUUUGUUAUAAUGAUCUUUUCAUUUUCCUUUGUAUAUUAAACUUGAGAAUAUUAUUCCAUAUUACUUCAACCAUUCCUUUUUAUGUGUUUGCAGUAUGACUGUAUGGUUCCCACUCAAAGUACAGGCCCAACAAACUUUUUUGAAGUAGGAGUCUAAAACUACAAAUCCAUCUAUUCCUAGAAUGGAGCUGGUUGGAGUUGAGCCUACAAUUGAGUGGGUAGUUUGGUGGCACCGACAUCCAGCUGAAAGUUAGGAGGGUUAGUAAAGCAAAUUUGUUCAUGAGGAAAUGUGUCAGCAAAACAUUGAGUCAAAGUGCAAGUCAAAUGCUCUUAACAAAUUUUUUGUCGCUUUUCCUUAAUUACAAUUCUUAUUUUUUUUAGUUGGCAUUGAUAUACAACAGAAAAUCCGGUGGCUUUUUUGCCCUCUCAUCAACCAUUGUAUUUUUGAAUUGUAUCAGUCUAUGUAAAAGAAUUCAGUACCUUAUGUUUUGUAUAUUUGGAAAUGUCUAAAGGCGUGGUGUUACAUAUAAUUGUAUGCUAUGCUUG